UAGGGUGAUUCCCUUUCAUGGUUUGCCUGGGACAGAGGGGGUUCCUGGGACACCAGUCUUUCAGUUUUAAGAC
rnacentral:miRNA from 1 species